rnacentral:rRNA from 1 species
GCCAAGAAUCUUCCGCAAUGGGCGAAAGCCUGACGGAGCGACGCCGCGUGAGGGAUGAAGGUCCUCUGGAUUGUAAACCUCUUUUGUCAGGGAAGAAUAAGGAGCUAGGAAAUGAGUCUCCGAUGACGGUACCUGAUGAAUAAGCCCCGGCUAAUUACGUGCCAGCAGCCGCGGUAAUACGUAAGGGGCGAGCGUUGCUCGGAAUUACUGGGCGUAAAGGGCGCGUAGGCGGCCUGAUAAGUCGAAUGUUAAAUACUGCGGCCUAACCGCAGGACUGCAUUCGAAACUGUCUGGCUCGAGUUUGGUGGAGGGUGAUGGAAUUCCCGGUGUAGCGGUGAAAUGCGUAGAUAUCGGGAAGAACACCGAAGGCUAAAGCAGUCAUCUAUGCCGAAACUGACGCUGAGGCGCGAAAGUAUGGGGAUCAAACAGGAUUAGAUACCCGAGUAGUCC